rnacentral:tRNA from 1 species
AGAAAAGGAAAUUAAGCUUCUAACUUAAUAGAUGGGACCUACCACUUUUCUU